rnacentral:rRNA from 2 species
AGUGAAGCGGGAUGAGCUCAAAUUUGAAAUCUGGCUGGUUUACUAGUCCGAGUUGUAAUUUAAAGAAGCGUUUUCGGUGGCAGCCUGGGUAUAAAUCCUUUGGAAUAGGGUAUCAUAGAGGGUGAGAAUCCCGUCUUUGACCUAGUGCAUGCUACUAUGUGAUACGUUUUCAAAGAGUCGAGUUGUUUGGGAAUGCAGCUCAAAAUGGGUGGUAAAUUUCAUCUAAAGCUAAAUAUUGGCGAGAGACCGAUAGCGAACAAGUACCGUGAGGGAAAGAUGAAAAGAACUUUGAAAAGAGAGUUAAACAGUGCGUGAAAUUGUUGAAAGGGAAACGUUUGACACCAGUCAUGUGGGUGGAAAAUCAGUCUUUUGCAUUGGGGAGUUGUAAGGGUUCGGACCGCAAGGCCGGCUUUUGCUUCAUCUUUGGUGUAAGUGAUGCACUUUUUCAUCUACAGGUCAACAUCAGUUUCUUUUGCUGGACAAAACUCCGAGAGAAGGUAGCAGCUUAGGCUGUGUUAUAGCUCUGGAGCGAUACAGUGAAGGGGACUGAGGUUUUCGCAGCGUGUGCUCUCGGGCAAGGCUGGAUGGGUGCUAUGGGAUCGUUCGGGGUACAAUGCCUGGCAUUUUGCUUCGUGUCUUUUCUAUACUCGCUCAACUCAGCUCUUCCACGCUUAGGAUGUUGACUUAAUGGUUUUAAACGACCCGUCUUGAAACACGGACCAAGGAGUCUAACAUAUAUGCAAGUGUUUGGGUGGCAAACCCAUGCGCGUAAUGAAAGUGAACGUAGGUGCGAUCCGCAAGGUGCAGCAUCGACCGAUCUUGAUAUUUUUGGAUAGAUUUGAGUAAGAGCAUAUAUGCUGGGACCCGAAAGAUGGUGAACUAUGCCUGAAUAGGGUGAAGCCAGAGGAAACUCUGGUGGAGGCUCGUAGCGAUUCUGACGUGCAAAUCGAUCGUCAAAUUUGGGUAUAGGGGCGAAAGACUAAUCGA